rnacentral:rRNA from 1 species
GGGGUGCAGCAGGCGCGAAACCUCCUCAAUGCACUGAAGUGUGAAGGGGUUACCUCGAGUGCCGCCUGAAGAAGGCGGCUUUUCCUUGGUCUAAAAAGCCUUGGGAAUAAGAGGGGGGCAAGACUGGUGUCAGCCGCCGCGGUAACACCAGCCCCUCGAGUGGUGGGGAUGAUUAUUUGGCCUAAAGCGUCCGUAGCCGGCCGAGUAAGUUUCCCGUUAAAUCCAGCGUCUCAAGCGUUGGGCUGCGGGAAAUACUGCCCGGCUAGAGAGUGGGAGAGGAAAGCGGUAUUCUGGGGGUAGGGGCGAAAUCCUUUGAUCCCCGGAGGACCACCAGUGGCGAAGGCUGCUUUCUAGAACACGUCUGACGGUCAGGGACGAAAGCUGGGGUAGCGAACCGGAUUAGAUACCCGGGUAGUCCCAGCUGUAAACGAUGCACGCUAGGUGUUGGGUCGGCCACGCGCCGCCCCAGUGCCGCAGGGAAGCCGUAAGCGUGCCGCCGGGAGACGCGCAGAUCUU